rnacentral:lncRNA from 1 species
AAAUAUUUCGGACUACAAAAGGGGAGGGGGGGAGAUACAAAAACUAAGAUCUACCUUCCUUGCUCCAUAUUUGGCUAAUGCAUCAGCAACCAAAUUUUUCUCCCUAUAGCAAUGCUAAAUUGUUGUUGACCUCAGCUUUCCUAACAGCAAUCUGCACUCAUGAAGGAGAGAGUUAUAAACAAGAUUACCCUGUUGGAGCAUUACAAUUAUUUCCUGAGAAUCAAUAUUAAUAUGAACUGAAAGUAAGUGAUGUAGCAUAAUAA